UACGUAGGGUGCAAGCGUUAAUCGGAAUUACUGGGCGUAAAGCGUGCGCAGGCGGUUAUGUAAGACAGUUGUGAAAUCCCCGGGCUCAACCUGGGAAUUGCGAUGGAGACUGCAAGGCUAGAAUCUGGCAGAGGGGGGUAGAAUUCCACGUGUAGCAGUGAAAUGCGUAGAGAUGUGGAGGAACACCGAUGGCGAAGGCAGCCCCCUGGGUCAAGAUUGACGCUCAUGCACGAAAGCGUGGGGAGCAAACAGG
rnacentral:rRNA from 1 species